rnacentral:tRNA from 1 species
GUCGCGGUGGCGGAACUGGCAGACGCGCAGGACUCAAAAUCCUGUGGUGGCAACACCGUGAGGGUUCGAUUCCCUCCCGCGGCACCA